rnacentral:rRNA from 1 species
UACGAAGGGGGCUAGCGUUGUUCGGAAUUACUGGGCGUAAAGCGUGCGCAGGCGGUUUUGUAAGUUUGUCGUGAAAUCCCCGGGCUCAACCUGGGAAUGGCGAUGAAGACUGCAAGGCUAGAAUCUGGCAGAGGGGGGUAGAAUUCCACGUGUAGCAGUGAAAUGCGUAGAGAUGUGGAGGAACACCGAUGGCGAAGGCAGCCCCCUGGGUUAACACUGACGCUCAGGCACGAAAGCGUGGGGAGCAAACAGG